rnacentral:rRNA from 1 species
GACCUCUGACCUCAAAUCAGGUAGGAACCUG